AAGCCGUUUGACUUCCCACUCUCGUAGAACACUGCAUUGACAAACGUGUAGGUGACCUAGACUAUUAAAAUAGCCGUUCUAUAUUCAUUGGGAUUCAUACACACUUUGUUCAGAUUCACGAGGAAACGACAGGGUGAAGCUGCUGACGAAGAGUCCAAGAUCCCUGUCUGCCAGAAAUUGUGAGUCCGAACUCGUGGAUUUCUUUCGUCCAGCAAUCAGCCCGAUGACCAGGAUAAUGAUGUAAAAUACGAUCACCCCGAUGAGUCCAGCGACAAACACUGCCAUGUCGCUUUUGAAUAAUGUGCGUCUGCUCCGUUUGUUGUACAGCAGGCAACUCAUUCCAAUAGUGUCGUCUGUUUCUCGACCUCAUUUUAUCCAGUAAAUAUAAAAGGUCUUGUUCCUGGCAGCAUCCUUGAGAGGCCAAGCGUAAACAGUACUUGAGAACAUAUAAACAGAAUAGUGGAUAAACACAUUCCUCUAAAAGAAAGAAGAAUUAACUCGCGUUCAGAAGAAUGGAUAAACGAUGACAUACUUACAGAAAUGCACUGUCGUGAACACCUCUUUAAAAAGGCGACACAGAGUAAUGAUGGUCACGCAUGGAACCUAUACAGAGCAUCAAGAAACAGGGUAACAAAAACAUCAGAGAGGCAAAACAUGCAUUUGUUGAGGAGGCAAUUUUCCUGGCAGAAAACAAGCCCAAGGGCAUGUGGGACAAACUUAGGCAAUCCUUACCAUCUAAGAAAAUGAAUACAAACUGUACAUUUCUUAAGGACAAUAACGUAGUUUUAAAAGAUACAAAGGGUAUUGCUGAAUGUUUUAAUAAUUACUUUUGUAACAUUGGUUAUGAGCUGGGAAAACAUUUUAAUGACACUUUACCUACUGUUCAAGAACAAAUACCUAAAAAUUCUUAUACAAUACCAGGUAUAACUGCAGAAUUUAUUGAAAAUGAAAUAAAAUGUAUGUCUGCAUCAAAGGCAACAGGUUUGGAUGGUACCAAUCUCUGUCAAACUUCUAAAACUUUCAUCAAACAGUGUAUGUGAUAUUCUUGCAUAUAUUUUCAACUAUUCUAUAUCUUCAUGUACCUGUGCAGAUGACUGGGGAAAAGCACGUGUUGUACCACUUUUUAAAUCAGGGUAUGAAUGUUUAGUUAAUAAUUAUCGGCCUGUAUCCAUUUUACCUUGUGUUAGCAAAAUUUUAGAAAGGCAUGUUUUUAAUUCAUUUUAUGAGUAUUUGUCAGUAAAUUCUCUUAUUACAGAUUGUCAGUCUGGUUUUAGGCCAAUACACUCAUGUGAAAGUACUCUUAUUUCUCUAGCAGAUAGAUGGCUUAAAAAUAUUGAUGAAGGUAAACUUACUGGUGUACUUUUUAUAUACUUACGGAAAGCAUUUGACACUUUCAAUCACAAGGUUUUAUUACACAAACUCAAGUCAUUUGGCAUAUAGAAUGAUACUUUUGAAUGGUUUAAAUCAUAUGUAAUAUAUCGUACACAAAGAGUUAUUUGGAAAGGCAAUUUCUCGGAUGAAAAAAAUGUAACCAUUGGAGUUCCACAAGGCUCUAUUUUAGGCCCAUUAUUUUUUUUAUCCUGUAUAUUAAUGACUAUCCACAA